AUGAUGUGGUUUAAUUCGAUGCAACGCGAAAACCUUACCACCUUGACAUGGCAGGAAUCCUAAGAGAUUUGGAGUGCUCGAAAGAGAACCUGCACACAGGUGCUGCAUGGCUGUCGUCAGCUCGUGUCGUGAGAUGUUGGGUUAAGUCCCGCAACGAGCGCAACCCUUGCCAUUAGUUGCUACGAAAGGGCACUCUAAUGGGACUGCCGGUGACAAACCGGAGGAAGGUGGGGAUGACGUCAAGUCCUCAUGGCCCUUAUAGGUGGGGCUACACACGUCAUACAAUGGCCGGUACAGAGGGUAGCCAACCCGCGAGGGGGAGCCAAUCCCACAAAGCCGGUCGUAGUCCGGAUCGCAGUCUGCAACUCGACUGCGUGAAGUCGGAAUCGCUAGUAAUCGCGGAUCAGCAUGUCGCGGUGAAUACGUUCCCGGGUCUU
rnacentral:rRNA from 1 species